rnacentral:lncRNA from 1 species
AGUAAGCGUAGAACGUCCGCACACCCAUCCUCGCUAUCAUUUUUGAAUAUGUCGGCAAACAAUGAUCAGGCAAUCGCCGAUCUUUUUGCACAAUUUUUUCAAACCAUCUAUUCCCAGGAAAGCUACCCAGGUCAUAUGUAUCCAUAUAGUUUACCAAGGUCGAAUGGCAUUUUCUGCCCUUUGUUAAAUGAAGGCUUCUUACUUCGUGAACUUAAAUUAGUUAAGCCGGUAUUUUCACCGGGCCCUGACGGAAUUCCCGGCUGUGUACUCAGGUACUGUGCCGAGUCUCUGUGCGGACCUUUGCUUAAACUAUUCACUCUAUCUAUCCAUUCUUCUAGCUUUUCCCCCAUCUGGAAGGAAUCCUUUAUAAUUCCUCUCCAUAAGAAAGGUAGCAAGUCUGACGCUAAAAACUAUAGAGGUAUAUCUAAGUUAUCCGCUAUUCCUAAAAUGUUCGAGAAACUUGUAACUCCGCACUUGCAGCAUCACUGCAAAUCACUUACAUCUCCAGCACAGCACGGAUUUAUACGGCGACGAUCAACAACCACUAAUCUUUUAGAGUUCACCUCCUUUGUAAUUAAAGGCUUCCAAAGUAACUUGCAGACGGAUGUUAUUUACACUGACUUCAGUAAGGCAUUCGAUUCUGUAAACCAUUCUCUUCUUGCACAAAAGCUCGACCUUUUAAGGUUUCCGCCCAAUCUGUUGAGAUAGAUUUCUAGCUAUGUUCUAGGUCUCAAAGGAUCCUUUUCAAAAACUCCUUAUCUUUACCUGUUAUGGUUACUUCUGGAGUACCACAGGGUAGCCAUUUAGGCCCCUUACUUUUCACACUCUUUAUUAAGCCUGCCUUCUGUAUUAACAAAUUCUCGAGUACUUAUGUAUGCGGAUGAUGUUAAACUCUGUGUCCAGUAUAAGGACAUUUCAUUUCACUCUCGUUUGCAAUCUGAUCUCAAUAGCUUUCAGUCAUGGUGCUGUGC